rnacentral:rRNA from 1 species
GGAUCAAUAUGUUGGUCGUGCCUUGGUACGUACUAGUUUAUUGGUUUCUUCCUUCUGACGAACCACGAUGUCAUUAAUUUGGUGUCUUGGGGAAUCAGGACCGUUACUUUGAAAAAAUUAGAGUGCUUAAAGCAGGCUCACGCUUGAAUACAUUAGCAUGGAAUAAUGAAAUAGGACGUUCGAUCCUAUUUUGUUGGUUUUUAGGAUCAACGUA